rnacentral:rRNA from 1 species
AUGGUUCGUGGGACGUCCUGCCGGUGGUGGCGAGCCGAAAGCGUGCGGCCGCCGUGGUUAGCCCACGUGCGGUUCCUGCGCGCCGUAGGCGGACCCCGAUGAAAUCCUACCGCGGUGCUCUUCAUCGAGUGUCGAGGUGGGCCGGCACGUUUACUUUGAACAAAUUAGAGUGCUUAAAGCAGGCCGGCUGCGCCUGAAUACUGUGUGCAUGGAAUAAUGGAAUAGGACCUCGGUUCUAUUUUGUUGGUUUUCGGAACCCGAGGUAAUGAUUAAUAGGGACAGGCGGGGGCAUUCGUAUUGCGACGUUAGAGGUGAAAUUCUUGGAUCGUCGCAAGACGGACCGAAGCGAAAGCAUUUGCCAAGUAUGUUUUCAUUAAUCAAGAACGAAAGUUAGAGGUUCGAAGGCGAUCAGAUACCGCCCUAGUUCUAACCAUAAACGAUGCCAGCUAGCGAUCCGCCGAAGUUCCUCCGAUGACUCGGCGGGCAGCUCCCGGGAAACCAAAGCUUUUGGGUUCCGGGGGAAGUAUGGUUGCAAGCUGAAACUUAAAGGAAUUGACGGAAGG